CACCCUAACCCAGAAGCCUAAACAAAAGAAAAAGAAAAACUCUUUCAGAACAGAUCGUCGAGAACACGAGAACAGUUCCAAUCGGUAAAUUUGGAGAAUCGAAUAUUUACAGAAUUAUAGUUUGAAGCUCUCUUUAGGUUUCCAUCUCUUCUCUCAUCAAGGUAUCAUAGUAUUUUUGUUGCCAAGAGCAAAAUUGAGGUACAAGCUUACAAAUUAGAGGUAAUUUUUUAACUUUCUCAGUUGUGUAGUUCACCAAAUUGGGCCUCUCUUACAAUUCAUGUCAUCCUCUGUUUUAACAACCCUACAUUUCACGAUUUUUUUUUAAAAAAAAAAGAAGAAGAAGAAAUUAGUGAUAAUAAGAAAAAUUAGGAUUAAAUUGUGGCAUUGAUUUCAGAUCCUUUGUCUAUAGCAACUGUGAUGUGGCAUUAGAAGGUGUUUUGUUUCUGCUAAUAUGGUAGUUGUGGUAAUUGUAUCAUUGAAGAAUUGCUUGUGAUUGAGUUGUGCUACUGUUUUGGUUGGCUGUUAGCGUUGGUUUUUGGCUAUUUUCCAUUGUCAUAGUCUACUUAUUUACACUGUGUAUGUUGUUAUUGUUGUUCUAUAAUCUACUUAUUUAUGAUCGACCAGUUUGAAACCUGGAGAAAAAAUAAUUUAAUAGUGAAUGCCUUUGCAACUACCUUGAACCGAACUUUAAACAAUAAGGAUCCUAGUGUAAAGCUUGAAUUGUUAAAUGUGAUAACCUAUGGAACUUGUGAAGGGUGGAUAGAAUAUUAGUAGUUGGAGAAGCAUGUCAAACAUUUUGAGUUCAUAAUUGAAUGUGGACCUAAAUUACGUAAUUUGGUCCUUCCCUGCCAGUUGAGUUCUUUUUGCUUUUGGUUGCUUUCUAAUGACGAGACCAAGUUGCUUUUCAAUUCAGGAAAUCAUUUGCAAUGCACUGUUAACAUGAGGUGUUUUUUAUUUUGUCUUUCUCCAACUCAUGUGUAUUUGAGUGUUGUUUCAAAACGGAGAAGUUCUAGCUUGAGAGGAUAUAUCAUAAGAAGAUGAACCAUUGACAAUUUGCCGUAAAUUUUCUUACUAAAUUCUUUGUUACUCACAUGUCUGCCUUUAGUUAAAAGUUUUUAGCAGCUGAUUAAAGUCAUACAAGUCUUUGGUCAUUCCGUAUACUUUUAUUUCAUCUACUAGUUGUAGUUAUUCUGUAAUAUGCUCCCUACAUGUCUGUCACAAUCUCGAAUUAUUUGGAGAAAACAUGCAGUUGGAGAAGUUUUGUUCUCUCGCAGAUAUUUCUUUGUCUCAUGAACGACUUAUCAGAUUGAACCAAAAAAAUAAGAGGACAUGGAGUAUUCUGUACGUUGGCUGGAUAGAGGAGGCAAUAGUUGAAGUUUCUAUACUGCUUCAUUCUUGAUUUGUCUAUUCAUUUUUGAAAUAGAAACUUCCACAUAAAGUAUUUUACAGUUAAUAUUUUUGCCUUUGUAACGGUUAUUCUAUUAUUCUAUCGUAGGCAGGGGUGGAGCAACCUUAGGGGAAAUAGUGUCACGGGGCACCGCUUCGUCGAAAUUUUUCACUGUGCAUAUAUGAAAUUCAUAUUUUCCUGGACAGCUAAGUGAACCAAUAGAUGAAUCUCCAUUUUCAUAUCUUUCUUGGAACAUCCAGCAAUUGCUAGCGCACUGGCCGGGCACUUCGUUUUUCUGGUUAAGGUCGUAGUGUGUUGUCAUGUAUUAGGAAUAGUCGAAGUGCUAUUUGGCAACCCUUUUCCUAUUGAAAACGUACUGAAUUAUUUUCUGGCGUGUCUUAAUAAUGCUAUGUAUUUUGGUUAGAUUAGAUUGACUUGAAUCCGUCAAAAUCUCAAAAGUAUGAAAUGGAAUCAACUUUGAAGUCUGCGAAACAUUCAUUCAUUCCACCUGGUGCCUUAGCAAGAGGACAAGGGAAAAGAUUUAGAGCUUUGAGUUUAGUAAGAGUAAAUGCUGAACAAAGACCUCCGAUUGGCAAAAGUAAAAAGUGUAAUACAACAACUUCUUAUAUGAAUGAGCUAGCUCAGAAUGAAAGUCUUGCACGCUCCUGGUUUUGAUCCAUAGGAAGACUAUGUUUCCCUCUCUCAAGAAGCUGAACUGAUGCAAAUACUCAGAGAAACGAAAUAAGUCCAUGUGAACCUUAAAAAGGCAAAAAAUGUGAGAGUGUCGAUCAGGUGCAGGACUCAAAGCUGGAGUAAUGUUGAGCGUCACUUUUUACCACAAUCGAAUUGUUGGGAAGAAUCAUGCCUCAGCGAGACACUUGGCUAUAUUAGUUAAUGAUCGUAAUAUGUGUCCAUUGUGCGUACAUUAUUGGGCGGACAUCGAGGAUUAUAAGCUGGAUCACAUGUGGGCAGCUAUGACUAUAAGGAUUUAAAACAUGAGUUUUUUGUUUUGCCUUCUCAUUUUAUUCUUUUACAAAUGAAAACGAAAUACUUGUGAGCUUAUAUCAUUGUAUUUGUUGAGUUAUUUUCUGUUUGAUUUGUCAGAAUCUGUAAAGAAAAUAGUUGAUAUGCUAUAUUGGAUUUGUGAAACUCAGUGUUAUUAAAAGCGCUCGCUUCGUCGCCUAAAGCAUUGAGGUAAGGCUACUGGCUUGUGCUUCAGAAGGCUGAGGCGACGCUGGUAGAAAGAAGGGACUCUUCUCCUCAAGAAGAUCGAAGUGGAGGAGAAGCCAGAAGCAUGCGCUUCGUUUAUUUUAAUAAAAAGUUGACUUUAAACAGAAAAGGAUUCAACUUUCUUACUAGUUUUGCUGCUCUCUUCCUUGGUCUGGUUUCUAUACUUCAAGCUACAGGUAUGAUUAUUUCUUCUUCUUCCCCUCCUCCUCUUCUCUUCUUCGUCUCGUCUUUGAUAUCGUCGCUGCUGCUGUUUUUUUUUUCUUUCUCUUCUUUUCUUUUAUCUUAUGUCUCUGCUACUGCAGCGUUUUUUCUCCUCUUCUUCUUUUCUCUUUUCUGAUAUCACUGCUGCUGCUUCUUUUUUUCUUUCUCUUCUAUUCUCUGAUCUAAUAUCGCUGCUAUUGCAAUAUGAGCAUCAUGGUGACAGAUGCAAGGUUCAAUAUUUUUGCCCAUAUAUAUUAGAAUACUUGUCCAUGAUGCAACUUCUAUGUUGACAUUUAAUUCUUUUUAUUUUGAGAAUUUGCAGCCUGUUAGUUGGAUAGUAGUGCAUCCACUAUACUGGCUAUCAAAGAUGUGGAGAUAGCUUGUUCUCUGCAUUGAAUUUGAGUUCCAUUAUAUUCUCAUGAAGUAAGCUCAUCUCUUAUCCCUAUUUGUACGGUGUAUUUUGGCAUAAGCAGGACUUGAGGAUUAUGUUACCAAUAUAUAAUAACGGAGGUGAAUCAUGAUCGUAGAAAAUUCUUAUGCUAUUGGUACUCCGUCUGCAUUACUGCAUUUUGGAUCAUAUUACAUAGUUGGUACUAAUUCCUAAUAUUGUGGUCUUCUCUUUUUUUCUUUCAUAAGUUUAGUCUUUGCUAAUAAACUGACAUAAAUUUGAAACUUUUCAUAGAUCAAUAAUUUGAGGACUGAGAUAAGUUUGGUGGUGACAUGUUUUUUUAUGGUUAUUCUAUAAUUAGUUACUUCUUAGUGUUUCUCUUUUCUACUUUAAGUGGCUCUUGUUAUUAAAUCUCAUCCAUAGAGAUUAGAAUAGUCUACACUUUACAUAAAGUGCGUUGUUUCAUCUUAUUUGUUGUGUCAUCUGCUUGAGCAUGCCUCUACUUUUAUUAUUUCAAAUUUAUUUUCUGGACACAAAAGUAAUUCAUCCUUUGUCAUGUAUAUAACACAUCCAUUUGUAAUUUUUUCAGAUUUGGAAAACUGGAAAAUGAUGUCCGGUAUCAUUCAAUUUAUACCAGAUCAAGAUUUACAAUAUACAAGCUGGAUUCUAAAGAACUGGCCUGCUACCCUUGAAGAAAGUGCAGAACAAUUGAAGCAAUCUACUUUGGUUUUGUUACAAUCUAUUUAGAAAUGUCACAUUUGUAAAAGCUAUAAUUUUAUUCUCUUUUGUUUGGAGUUGACAAAUAUAAUGUCAUGUAAUCAGAAUGUGUAUAUUUUUAUAUAUUUUUUAGUAAUGUGAUGAUUUGUUUUUUCAAGUGUCCAAUAAUUUUUAUUAAAAGCACCUGUAACAA